AGAUCUUGCUCCAAAGAGAUAAAUAAUUCAACAUCGAGGUCACAAUCUUUUUCUUUUAUGAGAACUUAAGGAAAAAAUUGUGCUGUUAUCCCUACGGUAGCUUGUUAAAUUCCCAGUUUGGGGAUAGAGUAGAGGUGAGAAAAAAGAUAUAGUUUUUUACCGCCCCAGCUCAACAAAAGUGAAGUUCGAUAGGGUCUUGUCGUCCUUCUCUUUUAUACAAGCUUUUUUACUUGAGUGAAAAGUUAAAAUAAUUUAGGUGAUAAAGAAAUUUAUAUGUCAAACCUUUCAUUCUAGCCUUCAAUUAAAAGGCAAAUGAUUAUGCUACCUUAGCACAAAAAAUAUUGCGGCUAUUUAAGAGAUCAUUGAGCAGGUUCUACUGAACAUAAAAUCGUUCAGAAAUGUUUUUGAUAAACAGACAAUAAAAUAAGGGCCGAGUUCAUGAACCUAAAGUUGGUUUAUUCUUUUGGCGGAGAAUUUAAAAGUAGAAGGAGUGCCAGAUGUUUUACUAAUGAAGUCAUUGUGAAAAUAUAAAGGAAAGGCUUCUUUUAAAAAAAUUUGGAGGAAAAAAAUAUAAAGUUUUUAAACUGGAAGACACUAUUAAUCCUUGACUUGAGUGAAUUUAAGGAGUGAAUAAUUAGAAAAAAGGAUUAUCCCUUUUAAAAUUUUAGUAUUACUACUUUUAAAGAUAACCAGAUAUCAUGGAAUGCGAGUGGAAUUUCAUCUCUAUUUCUCCUUUGAAAAACUUUAUGAAACAAGAUUGGCAAGGAGAAAUAGAUCAUUUCAAUUUCGGGAAUAUUUAUUAGAAAGUUAUGGUUGAAUUCCCCUGAUACAAAAGGUACAACAAUUUUCUAUUAAACAAUUAAGAGAUUCCCUUUCGGUUAAGGAAUAAAGAGAAAGAAAUGAACAGAACGGAAUAUUAUUUUAGACAAAAUUUCAAAUAGGCGGGUCU
rnacentral:rRNA from 1 species